UAAUGAGUGUCGUGAAUUACUCCUGCGU
rnacentral:sRNA from 1 species